AUGUGCUGCCCAAAAAAACCAGUAGGGAUCCAGGGAGUAUGCUCAGUUUCGGGUAUGACUGAUACUGCCAGGAAGUGGUGCCUGCUGUCCUCUCCACCGGGCAAAAUACAGGUCGUCUCAAGGCAACGGUCAGCGAGGCGGAGUCGGGGACCUGCCAUCCCAGAGCAAUACGCCCCGAGUAACAGGCCUGACCUCGGAGUGAUGGAUUGGGACUGGAAAAGUGGUGCCGGGAGCCAGGCAGUGACACCAGCGCGCCUCCACUGGCCGCCGAGCGCACGGAGAAGUGGUCUCCCCAGAGGCCAGCGCCCGGAGGACCAACUUCGGCUCCGGAAAAGCGGCGAUCCGGAACUAGGAUGUCACGGCUAUGACUAUGUAAAAUCUCUGCCCUGGGCGAGGCUAGCAGUGCACACUUUACCCGAAAGGCGCGGGGAGUCGGAAAGGGUGUUAUUUUUAAUUAAAAGUUUUGAUUCCGAAAUUUCCCUGGGGAAAGCGAGUACUUUUUCCUCUGAGUGAGGAGAAGGAUGGGGGAGGGGGGUGGUUGUGUCUCGGAGCAGUGCUGAGAGAGAGAUGCCCCCUCCAGGGACCCGGCCUCGCCGACACCUCAGGUCUCGCGUCAUAGCAGCUGGGCGCGGUACAGUGAGGAACUGCAUUCCCCUCAGCAGGACGCUGUGAGAAGCAGGCAGCACACCAGACACCGAGCCGCUAACGCAGGGCGCGGGCACAGCGUGCACAGCCUGGGGUCCCGCGCUUGGUCGCCGACCGUGUCACUCUGGAAGGGAGACAAACUUGCAGGCUUCGGACAGGACGGGCUCCAAGUAGCUGGAGCUGCCUACGCUGCGUCGCGAUAACAGUGGGUGCCUCCGAGACUCGGCGCUUCCAAGUGAACACACCGAGGAGAGGCCAAGUAGGGGAAGGAGAGCCGGGCGGAGGAGAGCCGGAGCAGCUCUGGCGAAGGACCCGGGCUCCCGAGGCGAGGCCCAGCCCCCUUAGGCCUCUGGGAGAGGCUUGUACUCCAGCGUCCCGGAGCCGGUGCUGCGCGAUCCCUGUCACCCCCCACCCCACCUCGGAUACCAGCGGCCGGCGGGGUGACAGCUCCCGCCAGCACCACCCCACCCCACGCAGUGGUGGAAAGGGAGAGCGGAGAGACAGCGAUCGGAGAGGAGGACAGGGCGCAGAGCUCCGGGUCCCGGGCAAGUCCCGUCCCCGGCGGGACCCCAGGGCAAGGAAGGCCCAGUCUGGGGGAGGGGAGGAGCCCGACGAGCGGCCGAGGCCGAGGCGGCGGCGGCGGCGGCGGCGCGCGGCGCGGCCCCUUUAAGGCUCUCCCCGCCCACCGACGGAGCCGGCCUCCGCCCGUCGCUCUCCCCGCCCCGGGGUCCCUACGAGAGAUGCGAUUGGGCGGGCGCGGCGAUCCCUUUGAAGUGUGGCUGCCGAUCGCGGCUAUUUGACGUGCUGCUCGCGGAAGGCGAAGGUUUUUGUGUUGCUCGCCGGGGCCAGUGGCGGUGGCGGUGGCGGU
rnacentral:lncRNA from 13 species